CAGAAACAGGGCUCCUCCCCCUCGCAGUGAAGGUACUAGCAGAGCGUGGUGCCCCCCGUGCCCCCACCCCGGCCAAUGCCUAACCUGCAGGAGCACUGUGGGGAUUUCCCAUCUUCCAGCCUGGCUGGCUCUUCCUUAGAGAGAUCAGCCCCCUGCCACUGACAAAGGCCUGGGUUGAGCAAGCUUUCCUGCGGGUCAGCAUGCAUGGUAGGGCAGUGCCUGGGCCUGCUCAGGACCAGGCUUCUCCCUCAGCAGCUCAGGAGGGUGGAGGAGGGAUUCAGAGCCCCAGAGAUCCUUCAGCCCCGUGCUCAGGCCAAACUGCAUUUCCCCCUGGCUGCCUGCGGCCUCCGCCUCUGCCCAGGCCUGUUUCUUUCUGGCCUCCUGCUCUCCUGUUUCCUUCAGCUUUCUCUCUGGAAGGCUCCCAGCUCUUCUAAAAACCCCCAACAGGAAAUUUGCCUGUUGCCACAAAAUAAUGCAAAUGUGCUCCUGGGAUGGCUCAGGCAAUUGCAGCAUCUGUCUCCGAGAAAUCUCGGAAAGGAGGACGAGGCAGGCCUGCGUCCCUCAGUGCUCUCUGCAGCCACCCGCACGGGGCCAGCAACUCUCUGCAGGGCCACAGGGGAGCAGACAAAGCUUCGACUUUGCUAAGAGGGCAGAGCCCAAGACAGAGAACACAAAACCCUCUGGGGCUCUGAGGUCCUUUUUGUUGGUUUAAUACAUAAAAAUGGUUUGUAUAACUUUAUUUUUAUGGUUAGCCUUUAUCUCUGUUUCGUUUCAACUCAUUGCCCUGUCCAGGGGAACUUAAAGGCCAUGGAGUCUUUCCUGGUUACCUAGGCAGCUGUUGCCCAGAACACGCAGACUUGUUUGUGAAAGCCAGCACGGUUCAUCCUGUUCUCACAGCUCCCAAGUUCCAGCAUUGGGCAUUUACAAAAGGGAGCCCAGAGCCUCCCUCGAGGCCCACAGAAGACGUAGGUGGGGCUGGCUGGACCCCGCCCCUCCCAACCCGAAUGUCCAACCCUGCAGACUUUUCCCGGAGGAGUUCGGCCUCUGCUCAGAGAUGAGCUUGCUGGUGGGUGGUGCUGCUCAGAGAAGCUACUGACGGAAAGACAAUGACACUGAGCUACUGAGGGAAAGACAGGAACUGGAGGCAGCAAGACAGAUGUGCGGUAACAGUCCAGGGAAAGCGGCGGAGCAGAGGACCUCUGCAGUUCAGUGGGAACUAGAAGUGGGCCUAGGACUUGCCACUGAGGACAAGUCUCUGGACAGCGCUGCCAAAGAAAUGGAGUGCACCGCUGAGAAUUCUCUUCUGUCUUGUGGCCCUUGAGAGGACAAACUCCCAAGUGUUGCUGCAUGCAUAUGACCAGGCAACUUCUUUGGGGAUUUCUGGCAACCCUCCGGUUAGACUCCCCUGGACAUAUCCAGCCCCUACACACCCAUCGUCCAUGGAUGUCAGUAAUAAAGGAAUAGAGUGGCCUGUGCAAACCCCUUGUGCAGUUCCCUGUUGACUGGCAGGGCGCCCACAUCCCUCACCCAUCUGCGACCGAGCUGUGAUGCUCAUGGAGCCAGACUUCCACACACUGUUCCUCAGGCUGCAGGCUCUACUAGAGCCACAGCAUUCACCCAGAAUCUACUCUGGCUCUGGAAGCUUGCUGAGAGAUCCUCUGUCAGAAAAGACAGCGCUUCCAGGGGAUCCAGAGGCCACUCCCCUCAGAGAGCUGUGUGACUGGGCAACUACAGUAAAGGUGGGCAGCCAAGGUCCUGCUUCUCCAGGAAGUACCAAAGAAUAAAUCAAGGAGACUAUUGGAAAACAAGACUGGUCCCAGAGUUGUCCCCUGGGCAUGAGAUCCGGUGUCCCCAAUCUGCUUGGUCAUUCCUCUGCUUACCAACAAAGAAGACUCGUAAGACUUACAGAAUUGACCUUCUUGGCUCAAUUAUUUGAGAGCAAGCCUCUGAUGUCAGGACUGUGAUUUUGCAAGCACCUAACUGGAAGCAGAGAGUGGAAAAGAUACAGGCACUGCCCUCCAAGGGGGACACAAACGGGGAGAGAGAAGCGGGUCUGUGCCACUGUGCGCGUCUCCGGGAUGACGCCGAGCCGGAGAGCCGAGAGCGCCGAACGACGCCUGGAGCAUGACGACACUGACGUAAACGACCGUAAAAUCAACACUGCCAGAGCCCGGUGUUAAUCGCUGGUCGUGAUAAAUAUGUGUAUAAAAGUAAAUAAAAUGCAUCUGGAGGCUACGCAGCAAAUUCAGGGGAGUGCUACCUCUACAGAGAUGGGGGGGGGUUAUAGUUAAAAAGGACUUUUUAUAAGUUAUAUGUCAAAUCCCUUUUCUUACCGAUAGGAAAAAGUAUGGCAAGUAAAUGUCAUACAUUGUGAUAAUUCUAGGGGGUGGGGGAGAAAUGCUUUGGUUGAGGUAUGUACGAGUGUGGUAGGAUGGAAGGAGGAGGGUGUAGCAAUGCCGGGGAGAUUGCGGAAGGGGUUCUGCAGGCUGAAGACCAAUCAGCUAAUCCCCGCCAGACCUGGUGCUCCUGGGUGGAGUACAGAGGUCUUUCAGCAGAAAUGAGGACCUACAGACUGUGGCAAGUGUGUGUGGGUGAUAGGGAGGCCACACAGGCAGGGCCAGCUUCUGGGGUGUGCACCCAAAGGACCUUAGCUUCAUCUUGGGGUCCUGGAAAGGACCACCCACAGCUUUGAGGCUGUAUAAAGGUGAAGUAGGGGAGGAAGUUACCUAGGAGACAGGGACCAUCCUGAGGUGUUCUGUAAGCCCAGUGGUGAGCCCACCACUCACCCACCCGCCCAUGGGCAGGCACUGUUGUCAUUGCGGGAACAUCAAACGCAGCACAAAAGUCAAGGAACGCAGGAUAUUUGAGCGGCCCUUACAAGGGUGGUAGUAGCUUCAGGAGAGGAAUAGUUGUAGUCAGAGGUCUCAGCAACCUGGGGAAUCUGUGGGAUGGAAGCAAGGGCCAGGUGAGGCUAGCUGUCAUUUCUGGGGAGUUCAGCACCUAUUUGGAGCAUUCUAACCUCCUUUGGGGCAAUUGCUUCAUCCCUACUGCCCUCAACAAAAGAGGGCGAAAGAGAGCCGCAGGAGCCAAACCCUUUCCACUCCACCCCCUUCCCUGCCCAGUCAGGACAGGAAUGCGGUGUCCACCUGGCCAGUGGAUAUUCUUACCUCGGUUCAGAUCCUGAAUAAGUGAGCUGAGGACAGUGAGAGGUUAGAGGUCAUUUACAAAGCAGAUGCACCCUCGGUGCUGCAGUCUUGCUGCACUGGCCAUGACCUUCUUCUGGCUCUCUAGAGCCCUCAAUUCCUGACUUUCCCGACCCUGGUCUUCCCAAUCUCUUGUUUACUCUGCGAGCUCUCCACUCCCUGGGGGCUCCAUCAACUUCCUUUGACUUAAAAUUAGCAGUCGCUGGUUUAGGGUUCAUGGACACAAGCAUCAGCUGAGACAAGUGUCAAUUGACAGUUGGCAAUGGGGGGGGGGGUCAGCCAGAGCAUCCUACACUUUUCUCUUCACAGUAUAUCUUGUUCCUAAUUCAUCCCCUGUGACCUCCAUCCAGAUCUGUGUUUUCUUACUCCUUCGCAGCUGUAGCUGCUUUCCAGCUGGACUCCGUUACAGCUCACUCUGCAUCCUAAGUUCUGCUAAGUGUUGCUAGAAACCUUUAUCCUGCAACUUCCCUGCUCAGGAACUUGGUGUGACUCGCUGUUGCCUGUAGGUCAAGUCCAGACAUCCACACCCUCCUUUAAUCUGGUCCCACCCCUACCAUCUGACUAGAGAAGCCCUGUGUACUCCUUGAGGGACUCCAAGUGGACACCCACCUUGGCACUUCCCCUGCUGGAAAGCCUGUCUCUUCUUGUCUGUCCAAACUCUGGCAAGAAUUUUGCUCUCUGGAUCUAGUUCGGUGUUCCUAGGAACUUGUCUUGGGUUGGGGCAGUUACUGACUGCCCCCCCUGGGAGGGGAGCUGCUGCUCUCCUCUAUAGAACACCUGGAACAGGUCAGGUGGUCACUGAUGGUUCCUUACAGUUUCCAGCUGAACCAAUACUAUGCAAAACUGCCUUCCCCACACUGUGGUUCACCCCUUUCCUUCCUGAAGCCCCAGCCCUGGCAGGGGUCAUGGAGGGACCACCCAAAGUCCUCGCUUUCUCUGACUUCCUUCCUUCAUCAUUACAGUCCCAUGAGCUGGGUGGGUGCAGUUGGCCUUGCACUUCGGGAAAAAGGAGACAGACGUCGAUUCCAGGUCCACAAAAGCACAGAGCUCCAUGUUGGCCCCGGUUGCAUGGACCAGAGCAUGCAUGAUGUGCAGAGUCCGGGAUUCAGUCAUGCUGUAGUCUACGAGCCUCUCUUCUAUGGGUGCUCCUGCCCAGGCUGCCUCCCACUCCUGUGUUGUGCUGCUCUAUAUGGCUUUCUGACCAUUGUCAGUACCUCGACUUCCCCCUGAAACCAAACUUUUCACGGGCACAGACCUCUUGUGAGAUGGGGGCCCACAAGGCUGACCCUCCAGCUCACAGUGGUCCUCCUCCUGGUCAUGUAGCUGCCUGCACAAAUCCAGGGGUUCAGUGCAGCCUUUCAAGGUUUGACAGGUGUAAACAUGCCCCACUUUUGAGAUAUAAUUAAACUGGUCUGAGUUGUCUCCCCAGGAGCGUAAGUGGGGCAGGGGUGAGAAUAUAGGUGUGUUGGUGAGUGUAUAAGUAUGAAUGUGGGUGCUAGGAGUGUGGAUGUGUGUAAAUGUGCAUGUAAGAAAAGAGCAAGAUUCAUUGAGGGGUUGGCUUGUCUCCAUUUGGGGCCUGUCACCUGUGAGCUUGGCAGCCACCAGGCCUUUCUGCCGUGUGACAGGACGCACAGGGAGAGGAGCACAGGUGGAGGCCUGGUGAUUUCCGAUGGCCUCACCACGUCAGUGAGCCUCCAGAGCCCUGGCUCCAGGGGCUUCUGCUCAUUGUGGCCCAAAGCAUGCCCACUGUCACCCUGGGUCAUGCUUCUGACCCCUGACUGGCUUUUCUCCUCAGACGGGGUUUGUGAGGCAUGCUGCACUGUAGUUAAUGUGUUGAUGUGUUUUAGAACAAAUUAAAUAUGGAAAUAGCUUUAUUUUUCCCUGAUAAUUAA